AAGAGACGUUGCCCUUCGGGGUAUACCUCCCACCCUUUGUUUAUUAUACCUUUGUUGCUUUGGCGGGCCCGUCCUCGGACCACCGGCUUCUGCUGGUCAGUGCCCGCCAGAGGACCUAAAACUCUGUUUGUUAAUAAUUGUCUGAGUACUAUAUAAUAGUUA
rnacentral:misc_RNA from 1 species